GAUCAUGGCUCAGGAUGAACGCUGGCGGCGUGCCUAACACAUGCAAGUCGAGCGAAGUUAUUUCAGGAAGCCUUCGGGUGGAAUGGAUUUAACUUAGCGGCGGACGGGUGAGUAACGCGUGGGCAACCUACCCUGUACAGGGGAAUAACAAUGGGAAACCAUUGCUAAUACCCCAUAAUACCUUUUAGGGGCAUCCCUUAAAGGUCAAAGAAUUUCGGUAUAGGAUGGGCCCGCGUCGCAUUAGCUAGUUGGUAAGGUAAUGGCUUACCAAGGCGACGAUGCGUAGCCGGCCUGAGAGGGUGAACGGCCACACUGGAACUGAGACACGGUCCAGACUCCUACGGGAGGCAGCAGUGGGGAAUAUUGCACAAUGGGGGGAAAAACCCCCUGAUGCAGCAACGCCGCGUGAGCGAUGAAGGCUUUCGGGUCGUAAAGCUCUGUCCUAAGGGAAGAUAAUGACGGUACCUUAGGAGGAAGCCCCGGCUAACUACGUGCCAGCCGCCGC
rnacentral:rRNA from 1 species